rnacentral:rRNA from 1 species
UACGUAGGGAGCAAGCGUUGUUCGGAUUUACUGGGCGUAAAGGGCGCGUAGGCGGCAAAUUAAGUCAGCUGUGAAAUCUCCGAGCUUAACUCGGAACUGUCAGCUGAUACUGAUUUGCUUGAGUGCGGAAGGGGCAAUCGGAAUUCUUGGUGUAGCGGUGAAAUGCGUAGAUAUCAAGAGGAACACCUGAGGUGAAGACGGGUUGCUGGGCCGACACUGACGCUGACAGCGCGAAAGCCAGGGGAGCAAACGGG